CAUUGUGCAUGUAGACUAUGUGAAAGGGUUUGGAGGAAAAUUUGGUGUGCAGACAGACAGACAAGACAAAUGUGCCCUUGGCUGGGAUCACCAGGAGAAAUUGCAGCUGCAUGAAUCCCAAAAAGCAAGAGAACAAACUGCGAUUGAGCCUCUUUUUAGCGCUCAGUAGAGCAGGCGCACAGGAAGCAGAUGAGAAUAAGCCCGUGCUGGUGCGGAAGACUGUGCUAUUGAAGUGGCGCGUUGCAAAGACUACUCCAAAGGAUUCGGCGGGAAGUAUGGGGUGCAGAAGGAUCGGAUGGAUAAGAAUGCGUCAACCUUUGAGGAUGUCACCCAGGUGUCCUCUGCCUACCAGAAGACAGUACCUGUCGAAGCUGUGACCAGCAAAACAAGUAACAUCAGAGCUAACUUUGAAAACCUCGCUAAGGAGAAAGAGCAGGAGGACAGGCGGAAGGCGGAGGCGGAGAGAGCCCAGCGGAUGGCCAAGGAGCGGCAGGAGCAGGAAGAGGCCAGGAGGAAGCUGGAG
rnacentral:sRNA from 1 species